GUUAGUCGAUCCUAAGAGAUGGGGAAGCCCUGUAUCAAGGGUGCACUUUGCACGAACAUCGAAAGGGAAUCGGUUUAAUAUUUCCGAACUGGGACAUGGCGGUGGACGACAACGUUAGGAAAUCUAGAGACGUCGUCAGGGGCCCCGGGAAGAGUUAUAUUUUCUUUUUAACAACUUGCCCACCUUGAAAUUGGCUCAACCAGUAUAUUUAUGCUUUCUUUUCUGGAAGCCUAAGGUUUAUGCCUUUCCAUUUUCAGAAAAUAUUUAGAACGGACUAUGCUAUGCUUUCAAAUAAGAUUCAAAAUUUUUAGAAUUUAAGAAUACAAUGGUU
rnacentral:ncRNA from 1 species